UACGAAGGGGGCUAGCGUUGUUCGGAAUUACUGGGCGUAAAGGGCGCGUAGGCGGCCCGAUCGGUCAGAAGUGAAAGCCCCGGGCUCAACCUGGGAACCGCUUUUGAUACUGUCGAGCUUGAGUUCCGGAGAGGAUGGUGGAAUUCCCAGUGUAGAGGUGAAAUUCGUAGAUAUUGGGAAGAACACCGGUGGCGAAGGCGGCCAUCUGGACGGACACUGACGCUGAGGCGCGAAAGCGUGGGGAGCAAACA
rnacentral:rRNA from 1 species